rnacentral:rRNA from 1 species
AAACCGUUCAGGGGUAAACCUAAGAAACCCAAAAGAUCGAACGGGGGAGAUUCAUCGUCAGCGGAGCUGGCUUCGCGUCGGUGGGCGAUGACCCCGCGGUGUCCUCCGUGGCACGCGCGCGGGCACGCUACCGUGCGCCGAUGUCCGGUUCUCGUCGUCGUGCACUUCUCCCCUAGUAGAACGUCGCGACCCGCUGGGUGUCGGUCCACGGCCCGGGUGCGGUGACUGUCGCGUCGCCCGUAAAAACGGCGCGCGGCAAACCCUCGGUCGCCCGGCCGGCUGCCCGGCGGCACACGCACGGUAUCAGGCCGCACCAACGGUGCGUCGAGAAGUAGUCGGGCGCGCGUCAGAAUCCCGGAGGUACGGACUCGGCGCCGUCCCCGGUCCUGGCGCGUUCGCGCCGCACGUGUCUAUAAAAGGGUAGACCUUCGACUGGCCUUGCUUCCUCGCGUGUUGCUCGACAACACGCGACAUACCGGUCGGCGACGCUACUGCUUUGGGUACUCUUAGGA